rnacentral:rRNA from 1 species
GAUGAACGCUGGCGGCGUGUCUAAUACAUGCAAGUCGAGCGAACGGACGAGAAGCUUGCUUCUCUGAUGUUAGCGGCGGACGGGUGAGUAACACGUGGAUAACCUACCUAUAAGACUGGGAUAACUUCGGGAAACCGGAGCUAAUACCGGAUGAUAUUUUGAACCGCAUGGUUCAAAAGUGAAAGACGGUCUUGCUGUCACUUAUAGAUGGAUCCGCGCUGCAUUAGCUAGUUGGUAAGGUAACGGCUUACCAAGGCAACGAUGCAUAGCCGACCUGAGAGGGUGAUCGGCCACACUGGAACUGAGACACGGUCCAGACUCCUACGGGAGGCAGCAGUAGGGAAUCUUCCGCAAUGGGCGAAAGCCUGACGGAGCAACGCCGCGUGAGUGAUGAAGGUCUUCGGAUCGUAAAACUCUGUUAUUAGGGAAGAACAUAUGUGUAAGUAACUGUGCACAUCUUGACGGCACCUAAUCAGAAAGCCACGGCUAACUACGUG